AAUUAGGGAGAAGUUAAGUGAUAUAGGAAUCAAGAUCUAACCCCAAAAGGAUGCUUUGUAUAUUAGUUUUCUAUCAAUUAAAAAAUUCAAAAUAGAUAAGCAAACCUACUUUCAAUUUUCUAUAUUUUACUUUUUAGUUUUAUAAGAGGCACGAGUUCAAAAGAUUGAAGAAAUUGCUUCCACCUCUUUUCAAUCAACUAGUAUAAUCGGUAGAACUAGAUAACUGUUAGUUUGUAAAUUUGAGGUCUUCUGAAAAAAGGAAAAUGCUAUGGGCUAAAGAGAACCUCAAAUGUGCAUGAGUCAAGGAGAAGAGCAUGCAUGUAGGUGUCCAUGUGAAAAGGGUAGUCUCAUUAAAAAUUACUGAAAGACGUUAACAAAAAAAUGAGAAUAUCAUAUGAUAUAAUAAGUGAUACGAUUUUAAGUUGCACAUAAAAGGAGGUAUGCAAUGGAUUAGAAGGAUUUGAAGAGGGGAGUCUAUGGUUAACAUUUGGUGCAAAAAGGAUGUAGGAUAGGAAGAUUGGCAUUGUAAAUAUACUAGUAAAAUAAUAUUGAUGUGGGUACAGAUCUAUGAACAAUUUAGGACAAAUUUAAAAUUUGCAUGCCUGAGUAGGAAUCGAUUUUAUAUUACUUUUAAUUUUUAUAUUUUCUUAUACACUAUCUUAUCAUACAAAUGUGGAAGAAAUAGACCUCUGUACCCCAACCUGAAUCAUGUAAACCUUGUGCUAUUUUAU
rnacentral:lncRNA from 1 species